CACAUGCAAGUCGAACGGCAGCGCGGGGGACAACCCUGGCGGCGAGUGGGCGAACGGGUGAGUAAUGCAUCGGAACGUAUCCUGGUAAUGGGGGAUAACGUAGCGAAAGUUACGCUAAUACCGCAUACGCUCGAGAGAGGAAAGUGGGGGAUCGCAAGACCUCACGUUAUAGGAGCGGCCGAUGUCCGAUUAGCUAGUUGGUGGGGUAAAGGCCUACCAAGGCGACGAUCGGUAGCUGGUCUGAGAGGAUUAUCAGCCACACUGGGACUGAGACACGGCCCAGACUCCUACGGGAGGCAGCAGUGGGGAAUUUUGGACAAUGGGCGAAAGCCUGAUCCAGCCAUGCCGCGUGCGGGAAGAAGGCCUUCGGGUUGUAAACCGCUUUAGUCCGGGAAAAAGGGGUGCGAGGAUAAUACCCUCGUGCUUUGAUGGUACUGGAAGAAUAAGCACCGGCUAACUACGUG
rnacentral:rRNA from 1 species